AGCUGCACCUAUCUCAGCUGUAUGGCUGCCUAAACAAGAUCUGAACAGUGACACCACCAGUUGACAUGCCAAUGUGGAUGGGGGAAGGCUCACAAGGCCUCAGCCCUAGAUGAAGAGCUACAGAAGAUCCAGCACCCUCAUCUAACCUCCAGAGGCACCAGGCAUGCAUGUGGGACACAUAUGUACAUGGCCUCAUGUUCCUGAAGCGGGGGUCCAGCUUGCUGCCUUGGCAAGGGAAGCCUUGAACUUCUGAUGUCUUGCAUCUACUUCCUUGGUACUGGGAUAAUAAACCUAUCAUGGACUGCUG
rnacentral:lncRNA from 1 species